rnacentral:lncRNA from 1 species
UGGAGGUUCCCAGGCUAGGGGUUGAAGUGGAGCUGUAGUCGCUGGCCUACACCAUAGCAACAGAAACGCCAGAUCCAAGCCACGUCUGUGACCUACAUCACAGCUCAUGGCAAUGCCAGAUCCUUAACUCGCUGAGCAAGGCCAGUGAUCGAACCUGUGUCCUCAUGGAUAUUAGUCAGAUUCAUUUCCGCUGAGCCACAGUGGGAACUGCCUUGAAUGGAAAUUUCCAAGGGGGUUCAGUUUAUCCGGACCUGUUCAGAAUUGUUUGUGCUCUGUGCCUUUGUAUAUGUUCUGCAUUUUGCUAGAAGGCCUCUCUCCAUCUCAAAUUCCUAGAAAAGUCCUACUGUUUACAAGGCAGGCUUUGAUUCACACCUGUGUCUCCCAAGUCCGUGUAAGUGCUUGGAGGCCAGUUUCUUGCUGCUUUGUCUUCAGAGCUCCAGAGCACAAUGCCUUUGCUCUAGCAGCAAGCUUGUCAUAAAAUAUUGACACCUGCCAGAAAAGUUGCUUUCACUGUAGCCAUCACUAAUUCUUACAUGUACUUUCCCCAAGGAAUGGAAAUGUCAUCCCAAUCCUUUACAACACAUCAAGUAAUCUCUAUAUUUCAUUCUUUUCCUUGAAGAUAGCCAUUCAAAAAUGAAGCACUCCAUUUUCUGGCCCCAGUGUGGGCUGGCGAUUAUCUAGACUAGCUUCGCAGCUGUUGUCCUGGGAUCUCCCUUCACCAUCAUCCUGGGAAUCUCUCUUCCCUCCCCUGGAUUGGAUCCAGGGCUGGCUUCAUGGGGUCUAUAUGUCCUGUGCAGUAACACUUAGAAGGGCUCUCUGUUUGGUUUAGUGCUCUGCUGUCAUCAUCUAGAGAUUCUUGGUAAUUUUUUUUAGGUUAUUUUUUUUUCUAUUAUAGUUGAUUUACAUUGAUUGUUCUGUCAAUUUCUGCUGUACAGCAAAGUGAUCCAGUUUUAUAUAUAUAUUUUCCUCCAUCAUGUUCCAUCACAAGUGACUAGAUAUAGUUCCCUGUGCUAUACAGCAGGAUCACAUUACUUAUCCACUCCAAAUGCAGUAGUUUACAUCUACUAACCCCAAACUUCCAGUCCAUCCUACUCCCUCCCCCUCCCCCUCCCCCUUGGCAACCACAUGUCUGUUCUCCAAGUCCAUGAAUUUGUUUCUGUUCUGUAAAUAGGUUCAUUUGUGCCAUAUUUUCAAUUCCUCAUAUAAGUGAUAUCAUAUGGUAUUUGUCUUUCUCUUUCUGACUUACUUCACUUAGUAUAAGAGUCUCUAGUUCCAUCCAUGUUAUUGCAAAUGGCAUUAUUUUGUUCUUUCUUAUGGCUGAGUAGUAGUCCAUUAUGUAUAUAUAUCACAUCUUCUUGAUCCAUUCAUCUGUAAAUGGACAUUUAGACUGUUUCCAUGUCUUGGCUAUUGUGAAUCGUGCUGCAGCAGUGAACAUAUAGGUGCAUGUAUCUUUUUGAAUGGAUGUUUUGUCUGGAUAUAUGCCCAGGAGGGAGUGGGAUUGCUGGAUCAUAUGGUAGCUCUAGAUUUAGUUUUCUGAGGUAACUCCAUACUGUUUUCCAUAGUGGUUGUACCAAUUUACAUUCCCACCAACAGUGAAGGAGUAUACCCUUUAUUCCACACCCUCUCCAGCAUUUGCUAUUUGAUGGCCAUUAUUGAUGGCCAUUCUGACCAAUGUGAGGUGGUACCUCAUAGUAGUUUUGAUUUGCAUUUCUCUAAUAAUUAGUGAUGCUGAGCAUUUUUUCAUGUGCCUACUGACCAUCCAUAUGUCUUCUUUGGAGAAAUAUCUAUUUAGGUCUCAGAUUCUUAAUAAAUUUUGAACAAGGGUCCCUGCCUUUCCAUUUUAUACUGGGUCCCAUCCUGCCAGUUAUGUAACUGGUCCUGAAAUGGACCCCAGGUGGCUGUUUCUGCUUUCUGGGGAGGCUCUCUGAUAUAGGGGAGCACCUACUCUGGAAGCUUCCUGAGUGAAGCUGAAAUAGGUAAAUGUUUUUGGAAAUUUUGCAUAUCUGGAAAAAUUUGUAUUUUACUCUCAUAUUUUAAUUAGAAUGAGGCUCAAUAUGAAAUUCUCACUUGGAAGUCAUUCUUACUCAGGGGUCUAAAAGCAUUGCUUUAUUUUCCUCUCGUGUCCAGUGCUUCUGUUAAGAAGGCAGAUGCCCUUCUAAUUCCUAACCUGUCUGUACUGCCUGUUUUUUUCCUCGCUCAGUCACAGCUUUGCUUUUACUUUUUGGCAUCCAAGCUUGAUUACUGUUGUCUCCUCUCCUCAUCUCCUUAUUUUUGCAGGUGAAUAUUUCAAAAAGCAUCCUUUUAGCAGUAUUUUGAGAGAGAAGAGAAGAUGUAAACACAGGUUUUCAAUCUGAGCAACAUUUCAAGGGCUGUGUCACUUUUCAAGGCUGCCCUCUCUCUUGAUAUGCAGAAUUAGAUGGCAGUGGUGGGGGAAAAUUUGCAUAAGAAGCCCCAGUGCCUUCUGGAAGAGAUACUGAUCUUUCUUUUCAAAAUUCAAUGUUAAGGAAACCUUUGCAGUGAUCAAGGGCUGCAGACAAGAAAGAACACACAGAACUCCAGAGGGAUGUUCACCUUGAGGAAAGAGUGAACUGUAUCCAUGACCUGGUGUUGUAUCUGUGCUGCUGGAAUAAGGAUUGGCUACAGGAAGCUGAACAAAAAACCCAUCUCCUUGGUGCCCAGGAAGGUGUACCAAACUAGUUCUCUCUUAUUGAACAUUAAUGCAUGUGGUUUUUAGCUAUUAGAAGUAGUGUCAUCAAUACCCCUGUACAUGGAUUUUUGCACAUUUUUUUUUUCCCACAUUUUACAUGUUGCCUUGUGCCAUAGCACCUACAGAAAAGUUGCUGCUUCCUUGGACUUGGUCUAAUUUCAUUAGAAGAAAAAAAUUCUUUUAUAAAGACUUAAACAGUUCUUUCUCUUUGAGUUCAUAAAUGGAGGAAACAUUAAGAUUGCUUCAGUCUCUGUUUUUAUUUGAAUAUGAAUAUUUGUUAAGCCUCCUUUCCAUUUUUGUUGGAAAUGGAAUGCAUUUAUAAUAUGGUUAUAAUACUUAGUUACUAAUAUUCCAGAAAGAAGAAUAUAUACUUUUAUGACCUCUGAUUUCACUUUCACCCAAGUCUGUAUCUCAAGUAUAUAUUUUUUACAAGCAUUUCUCUAGGAAUUUCAGCCAUGUGGAAGAAGCUCAGUGGUAAAAUUAAAGAAACCUUUGUUUGCACUUUGUGUUUCUGAAGUUAAUAGAAAUUUAAAGCAGGCAGCUGUUGCUUUGCACCCUCAGGCGCUUCCUGGGUAAAGUCUGAAAUUGGCCCCCAUACCUGGAGGGCAAGGAGAGGUCAAAGAAAAAGGCAGGCCACUUGAGAUUGGUAGGUGGCAGUUUUAAUAAGCAAAAGAACUUUACAUAUAAGGCUUCUUUUGGGUGGCCAGCUGGAUAAGUAGAUCUCUGCACCCACCUGCCAGAAUCUUAAGAGUUUAUAUAGAGGCCUUAUUGAGCUUCAGUCAGGUAUUCAGUCCAGAUGGUUUCAGUAACAUAUUACUUGCUCUUUCAAGGCUAAAUCCUUGAAAUAGUCCCAGCUAUGGGAAUGGUGGGCAGACUCUAUAUUCCAAGGACAGGGUGAGGAUGAGGAGCCUCAGAUUGCUCAAGUCCAACUUUUGGGUCAGCUGGCAAUCAUGACCUCUUGAUUACCUGCCCCAAGAGCAGCAGAGCCCUAGAGAGAAAGCAAUAAUAUCAGGAGUCUCUCCAAUCAGAUUUACUAAUAUGCAGUUGAUGUAUAACAUUGUAUAAGUUAAGAUAUGCAACAUAAUGAUUUGAUUAUACAUAUGCAAUCACCUCAAUGUUUAGUUAACAUCCAUCACCUCACAUAGGUACAGUUUUUUCCUUGCAAUAAUACCUUUUAAGAUUUACUCUCUUAUGGAGUUCCUGUUGUGGUGCAGUGGAAACGAAUCCGACUAGGAACCAUGAGGUUGUGGGUUCAAUCCUUGGCUUUGCUUGAUGGGUUAAGGAUCCAGUGUUGCCAUGAGCUGUGGUGUAGGUCACAGAUGCAGCUCUAAUCCUGCAUUGCUGUGACUAUAGCGCAGGCUGGUAGCUACAGCUCUUAUUAGACCCCUCACCUGGGAACUUCCAUAUGCUGUAAGUGUGGCCCUAAAAAGACAAAAGACAAAAAAAAAAAAAAAAAAAAAAAAAAAUUACUCUCUUAUAUAAGUGAUAUUAUAUCGUAUUUGUCUUUCUCCUUCUGACUUCUUCACUUAGUAUGAGAGUCUCUAGUUCCAUCCAUCUUGCUGCAAAUGGCAUUAUUUUGUUCUUUUUUAUGGCUGAGUAGUAUUCCAUUGUGUACAUAUACAUCUUAAUCCAUUCAUCUGCCAAUAGACAUUCCACAGAAAAGAAAAUCAUGGAUAUGGAGAACAGACUUGUGGUUGCCAAGGGGGAGGGGGAGAGAGUCAGUUGGAUGGAUUGGGAAUUUGGGGUUAAUAGAUGCAAACUAUUGCCUUUGAAAUGGAUAAGCAGUGGGAUCCUGCUGUAUAGCACCAGGAACUGGUUGCUUGUGAUGGAGCAUGAUAAUGUGAGAAAAAAGAAUGUAUGCAUGUACAUGUGACUGGGUCACCUUGCUGUUCAGUAGAAAAUUGAUGGAGCACUGUAGUCUAGCUAUAAUGGAAAAAAUAAAAAUCAUUACUAAAAACAAGAUUUACUGUCUUAGCAGUGUUCAGAUAUGCAUCAUGUUAUUAACUAUAGUCAUCAUGGUCUAUAUUACAUCCCCAGACCUUAUUUAUUUUAUAACUAGAAGUUUGAAGCCUUUGACCGCCUUCACGCAACCCCGACCCCCAACCCCAAGUCUAUCUCUGUUUCUUGUAAUUUUUUUUUUUUUGAUUCCACAUAUAAGUAUGAUUAUGGACUAGAGAAGAACAAAUCUGACUUUAUACUGGAUCCGUUUCUUUUACCUUAAGAUAAAUACCUUUGUAUUAUGUUGUUUUUGCUAAAGUUAAUCACUGAAGGGAUGUUGCCUGUAGCUUAAAGUAUACAUAAUGGCCCAUGUCUGAGAACCCUGCUUCCAUGCCUGAGCAUUAAGCUAAAAUACCUUUGUUUAAGCUCAAUGGAAACACCCUGACCUGACCCACCUAUGAAUGGCUGCAGAAAGGAAGAAAUUAACACACCCCCCUCCAGAGUCUGGCCAGAACCAGAAAAUAUUUGCAACAACUUAUAGCCUUUUUUUACUUUACCUCCUCACCUCCCCCUCUUUGCUCUAUAAAAUCAACUUGCAUCCAAAACUUGGGUAAGAUGGUUCUUUAGGAUACUAGUCCACCAUCUUCUUGGCCUGCUGGCUUUCUGUCUUUUUUUUUUUUUUUUUUUUUUGUCUUUUCUAGGGCCGCACCCACAGCAUAUGGAGCUUCUCAGGCUGGGAGUCGAAUCAGAGCUACAGCUGCUGGCCUAUGCCACAGCCACAGCAACAUGGGAUCCGAGCUGUGUCUGCAACUUACACCACAGCUAUUGGCAAUGCCAGAUCCUUAACCCACUGAGUGAGGCCGGGGAUUGAACCUGCAACCUCAUGGUUGGUUCCUAGUCGGAUUCAUUAACCACUGAGCCACGACAGGAAGUUCCUGCUGGCUUUCUGAGUAAAGUCACUAUUUCUUGCCCCAACACCUUGUCUCUCAAUUGAUUGGUCUCUCCUUCAGCAAGCAGUUCAAGCUUGGACUUGGUAAUACUUAUACAAUAUUUGUCUUUCUCUCUCUGACAAUCCACUUAGAAUAGUAACAUCAGGUUUAUUGCCAUUCAUAUAAAUGCUAGAAGGUGGUACGCUCUCAUCACACAGUGUGCCCAAUGAAUGUUUGCUGAAUCAAAGGGCAGAAAUGACAUGCACAUCUGUAUCAAGUGUCUGUUUGACAAUAGCAGUGGAAAGGAAAUCCCACUCUCCCUACCGCAUUUCGUAUGUGGUGUCUUUUGACAAUUUCAAGUCAGCUUGAGUCAGGGAGUGGAGACAUGCAGAAGGCAGAGAUAAGGUUUGCUUAAGUAGAGGAGAUCAUGACAGUAAAAAGCACUUUGAGAGAGAUGAUGUUCUUCAAAUAUUAUUAGGUUCAUUUCAUUAUCAUGGAGUAAAAAUAAAGAGGUACAAGAGAGAAUCAACAGAGAGUAGUUAGUGGGGAGAAGGUGAAACCCUUUGUUAAUGACUGUUACCUGGAGAAAGUUAAACAAAUAAAGGUGCUGAUUCAGCUAGGACCAGUAACCAGAUCAGGGUCAUUGAGGACUAUUUUCUGUUCUCAUCCUGACUCAUUUUAUAAUAUUUGGUAAAUCGCUUAACCUUUCUGUGGUGCCAGUUUUUCCAAUCCAUUAAGUGCCUGUUAUAGUACAUUCUUCCUGCUGAGGUAGCAAGGAUGUUUGGGUGAUUCAUUUGAUAAUUGUUGGAAAGCACUUUGAGUCCCUUAGAGAAAGCCAGGAUCACAAGAUUUAUCUGAGAUUAUUAAUUAGAAAGUCUUUUUGCAUUAGUUGAGUUUCUGAUUCUUUUGCACUUUCCAACUCGCUUUUCUGUGGCUUUCCCAAUUCCAGCCAGUUUUUCCUUCACACAAUUGCAAGGGUGCAGUGAUUUGGUAUAUUCUGUAUUCCAAAUAAUGUUGCUAUCAUGAAAUUAAUCCUUUGGGUAGAUGUAAAAAAUUAGAAAAGUUUGAGAAUUUUAAGCCUGUCUUAAUGUGAUUAAGUAAAACAUUUAAGGUGGUUUGAGGGGAGAAAGAUUAUCUGUG